rfam:Aptenodytes forsteri contig8698, whole genome shotgun sequence.
GUCUCCUCUGGCAGCACGUAUCCUGUCCUUGGAACAAUACAGAGAAGAUAGACACGGCCCCUGCAUGAGUGUGACAUGGAUUCAUGAAGCAGCUGGCCUGGUUUUC